rnacentral:rRNA from 1 species
UACAGAGGGGGCAAGCGUUGUUCGGAAUUACUGGGCGUAAAGGGCGCGUAGGCGGAUAUUUAAGUUGGGGGUGAAAUCCCGGGGCUCAACCUCGGGAUUGCCUUCAAAACUGGAUAUCUUGAGUUCGGGAGAGGUGAGUGGAACUCCGAGUGUAGAGGUGAAAUUCGUAGAUAUUCGGAAGAACACCAGUGGCGAAGGCGACUCACUGGCCCGAUACCGACGCUGAGGCGCGAAAGCGUGGGGAGCAAACAGG